AUUGAACGCUGGCGGAAUGCUUUACACAUGCAAGUCGAACGGCAGCACGGACUUCGGUCUGGUGGCGAGUGGCGAACGGGUGAGUAAUACAUCGGAACGUGCCCAGUCGUGGGGGAUAACAUAGCGAAAGCUACGCUAAUACCGCAUACGAUCUAAGGAUGAAAGCGGGGGAUCGCAAGACCUCGCGCGAUUGGAGCGGCCGAUGGCAGAUUAGGUAGUUGGUAGGGUAAAGGCCUACCAAGCCGACAAUCUGUAGCUGGUCUGAGAGGAUGAUCAGCCACACUGGGACUGAGACACGGCCCAGACUCCUACGGGAGGCAGCAGUGGGGAAUUUUGGACAAUGGGCGCAAGCCUGAUCCAGCCAUUCCGCGUGCAGGAUGAAGGCCUUCGGGUUGUAAACUGCUUUUGUACAGAACGAAAAGGCUCUGGUUAAUACCCGGGGCUCAUGACGGUACUGUAAGAAUAAGCACCGGCCAACUACGUGCCAGCCGCCGCUGUAA
rnacentral:rRNA from 1 species